rnacentral:rRNA from 1 species
CCUACGGGUGGCAGCAGUGAGGAAUAUUGGUCAAUGGCCGGAAGGCUGAACCAGCCAAGCCGCGUGAAGGACGAAGGUGCCAAGCAUUGUAAACCUCUUUUGUCGGGGAACAAAGGCGUCCACGGGUGGGCGGAUGAGUGUACCCGAAGAAAAAGCAUCGGCUAACUCCGUGCCAGCAGCCGCGGUAAUACGGAGGAUGCGAGCGUUAUCCGGAUUUAUUGGGUUUAAAGGGUGCGUAGGCGGACAGUCAAGUCAGCGGUAAAAAUGCGGUGCUCAACGCCGUACAGCCGUUGAAACUGGUAGUCUUGAGUGGGCGAGAAGUAUGCGGAAUGCGUGGUGUAGCGGUGAAAUGCAUAGAUAUCACGCAGAACUCCGAUUGCGAAGGCAGCAUACCGGCGCCCUACUGACGCUGAGGCUCGAAAGUGUGGGUAUCAAACAGGAUUAGAUACCCUUGUAGUC